CGGGAUGUAGCUCAGCCUGGUAGAGUGCUGCGUUCGGGACGCAGAGGUCGCAAGUUCAAAUCUUGUCAUCCCGACC
rnacentral:tRNA from 1 species